GGAGAAGGGUGUAGCAUAGUGGCAGAGCAUCUCCUCAGUAUGAAGAAGGCUCCAGGUUCAAUCCCAGGUGUUUCCA